UCUCGAGCACAGCACCGGCUACCUGCUCAGUCCGUGCUAUGCCGUCAAGAUACAAAUACAUUGACAAGUCAGACAGCGAGAUUUUACUAGUUAGUUGGUAAAAUCAUUAAUCAUCGAUAUAUCGAUCAAGAUGGCAGCAAAUAGAAAAAUAACAUACCAAGACGAAUUCCUUAAUUACGGUUUUACACAAACAGAAGACAAUGUUACAAUGAAACCACAGUGUGGUGAAUGUAUGGAGGUACUGACUUCAGAAUCUUUCAAAAAAAAGUCAAUUAAAACAUUUAGAUAAUUUGCAUUUACACCUGUCUUCCAAACCGCGAGAAUACUUUGCAAAUUUAGAAAUAUCUGUUAAAAUUCAAAGAUUGAAUAGCAACUUGUUUGGUACAUUUGAACAGCGUUCAGUAUCAAGGGCUAGCUUUGAAGUAGCCUGCCUGAUCGAUUGCUCGAAAUAAGAAACCAUACACUAUUGGUGAAGAUUUGGUUAAACCAGCUGCUGUAAAAAUGGUAGAGAUUAUGUGUGGUCAAAAAGAAGCGAGAAACUGAAUUCAGUGCCCUUGUCUGCGAGAAUUGUUUAAUUGUUUUUCGGCUUUCGUAAAAAAAUAACCCAAAUAUUGAAGUAACUCCACUUUAUGAUCCAUCGUUAGGCCCUUACGGUCAAAUAUUUAGAACCUAUACUAGAAGCCGUCAUGCAUGAUGUCAUGAAGAUUGUAAAUUUUAUCAAGAUACAUGCACUAAACACGCGGCUAUUUCGUGAAUUAUGUCAGGACAGUGAAGCUGAAUAUACGGACCUACUUUAUUAUUCAGAAGUAUGAAACUAACUAACCAAAAUAAGGUUGAUCAAAAAAAUAUUCUCGCAGAUGAGUUUAAAAACUUUUCCAGGGUGGCAUAUCUCGCAUAUUUAGUGGAGAUUUUUGAGAGUAUAAAUAUAUUAAAGAAAAAAUUGCAAGGAAAGAAUAUUAAUAUCAGCGUUUGGAUUAAAGCUGCAAUAUUGGAGACAGAAAGUAGAACAGAACAAGAUAGCUUUUUUUUUUCAAAAUUGCACAUGAAGAGGCGGUUAAAAAAUUGUUGCCUUUUGGAACAACAUAUUUGUGCGAACAAGGCUUUUCAACUCUAAUGAACAUAAAAACGAAGAACAGAAAUCGAUUAAAUGCCGAAGACUGUAUUCAAAUCGCUCUUACAUCAAAAAGUCCCGAUUAUGAAGCAAUUGUAUCGAACAUGAAACAACAUUAUUUCCCCAAGGAAGAAUGUUUUCAAUUAUUCUUUUUUUUUCUAAAUUGUUUCAAUUCUAACUUUUGUUUAUUCCACCGUUAUUAUUAUUAUUAUUAUUAUUAUUAUUAUUAUUAUUUGUUACAGUAUCCCAAAUUGUCAACCCUCAAUUGUACUUCAAUGGGUUUCAAUUUCUGAUAUACAGUUGAGGAAAAAUAUUCGCCCCCACAGAAAAUAUAAGUAAAUGAUAAUUUAUUGUUAUUUUGUAAUUCCUAUGAUAUUCUUGUAUUAUUAGACGAAAAAGCUAGUUUAAAUUUAAAUGAUUUUUUUCGGUAUUUUUUUUUGGAUAAUGAUUAAAAAAGUUCCCCUGGUAUAGACAUAUUGCAAGUAGAAAAAUUUACGUACCUAGAAGUACAAAUGGAAAAUACGGAAAGUCAAGAAAUUGAGAUUAAUGAAAGAAUAGAUAAAACAAUAAGUUUAUUGUAUGCAAUGGAUCAAAAAUUUAUGUAUUAGCAAGUAAGAAAUAUGACAAACAAAAAUUGAAGUCUCUAAGACCAUAUAUGGACCAGUGUUAAUACCUGGGUGUGACUCAUGGGUACUGUCAAAAAGACAAAAAAUUAAAACGCAGGCAACUGAAAUGAAGGACCUGAGGAGAGUGAAAGGUGUAACAAGAAGAGACAGAAUCAGAAAUAAAAAGCAAAAUGCAAAGCUUCCAAAAACAUCCCGUACCUCGUACCUACAGCGACAUAAACCAUCGAAAAAUGGAUCCUGUUCUGCGUGUCCCACUAAAAAUGGCUGUAUUUCGGGAAUUAUUAGCCGUAUGGAUUGCGGAAAAAUUAUCACCAAAGAGACCAGAGAAAAGUGGUGUGGGAAAGUUAUAUCUGUUUGUAUUUAAAUGUCUAUGUCUCCGGCCUGGAUAAUCGCAAUCAAACGAGCUGGGCCUCGUUUAAAAGAGCGUUCCUUACUCUAUAUUCUACCGCAUUAAAAAUAAUAAUAUGCAUUUGACAGUAGACGCUGGGGCGAAGUAUGAAAAAUAAUGAAUAUAAUAACAAUAUGAGAAAAAUGUUGUACAACGCAAAAUUCAUCCAAAAUUUUAGAAUGCCGGGAAUUGUUUGGCGGAUAGAUAAGUAGUACCAAAGUGCCACAAGCCAACGGCGCAAUCAGGAUGCGUUAUUUUUUUUUUUUAAUUUCAGUUUAUUCGGCAACUUCAAGAAAAUGUCACUGCAGGUGUCCGACACUUCACUAAAAUAUUUUCAUACAUUUGGAUCGGACUUCCAGCUGGUCAACAUAACGUUCGGCAACAUUGCGAUAAACGGUACCUACAAUUGGUCGGGAUUCGUCGGGGCCAACGAGUUGUUCGAUAUUUACGGCAGCGGUCCUUUCUGGGCGAAUCCGGUCAACUUUUCAGUUGGUGUUAACAUGGACCUCAAUUUUACUAGUCCCGAACAUUGUUUAGCAAUCGAAAUCAGGGUAUACCUUCCCAAAUUUAAUGUAAGUAUAACCACUUCCUAGAUCGCCUUUGCUAAACUAUCCUUUUUUGAAGAGUAAUUUUUCUGAACUUAUGAAUGGAGAUGAUGAAUUGUGUCCGUUACUAAAUGGGGCUAUAUCAGAUAUCGGACCGGAUGCGGUUCGUAUCAUCUGGGACGAAUAUGUGAAUUCGAUAGAUGGACCUCUUCCGCAGGCGAUAGAUAAGAUACUGGAGUGGGACCGUAAGACUUCACUUCUGACUACUCUUAUAAACAUACUGGAGGUAAAUAAGGGACUCGGAUUAGACGAAGAGUUAAUUUUUACACCUCCAAAUUAAUUCGUGUAAAUUAAAUAAAGUAUCAAGUGUUGUUAGGGAUUAUUUUUUAUUUAUUCUAGAUGAUAUAUAAACUAUUAUUCCGUCCAGUUCGGUUCAAUUUCCGCAAACAUUUUUUUUUGAUUUGCAAACUGUAAAUCCCGUAAUAAAAAAUAGAUGAUAGUUUUUUUUAGAAAACAUCAUGUUUCGUUAACACUAUAACUUUUUAAAACUAACUAGCAAACAAAACAAAACAAAAUCCUAAUCAUUAAGUCUAGGUAAUUUAUUAAGGAGAGUAAAUUCUAGCUAAUGUAAUUAUAAACCAAUAGUUAGGUAAGUAGGUAAAAGAAUAUUAGAUAUGUAUAUGCAGUGUGUCCCAGAUUCGCUUCUCUAUAUAGGGAUCUCCGCUCCGGUUAUACCAACAGCAAAGGUGAAAUGGAAAACGACCGACUUCAAAUUUCCGGCCGGUCAAUUGGUUUGGGAAAUAUCCGCGAAAAAACGAAAAUGGCAGAUUUUGUUUUUCGUCAGUAAAUCCAAAACGGUUAAAUUGACAGCUGUCAAAAUGUUAUCCAGACGCCUUUUUAAGUCAGAUGGCGCGUAUGCAUGUGUCAAUCAUCUUUUGCUAUCUCGCAACCCGAACUAACUUUUAUUUUUUUUAUAUUGGAUUUUUAGAUUUUUGGAACGAGUGUAAAGAUGUCUCACAAAUGCACAAACAAUUUUAUCACACUUCGUAAAGUUAGGUCCUAAUUAUUUUAUAAGUAGGUCAUGAUUUAUUUAAGAUUAACAUUAAUAAGUAACACAUUGAAUUUUCAAUAGAAUAUGAAAGUAAAGAACGAUCCCUCAACAAGUCAACAUGUUUUACCUAGUAUGAGUUUUUUAAAAAGAACAAGUCAGAAAAGUCUUCUUUAACUUAAUUAAAACUUGAACAACCUACCACCGUCGUCCGAUAUAGAUUGAAAAAGAAAAUCGUAACAGAAACAAUUUACAAGUAGUGGAAUGUAAAACUUAAUUAUUUUAGCAUCCGAUAAUUUUCAGAUUUGCAAAAUGACGUCCAUUUGCAUUUUUGGCAAUUGGUGACUCUUUGUCUUAGAAUUUCUAAAAUCUCGGCAGUAUUAAAUUCAUAGACCUAAGUUUUUGUGUGAUCAUUUAAUGAAAUAAUUCUUUCGUCAAAUUGCAAAACUCAUCUCUGGUUAGAGUGGAUCGUAAAACCGCAAAAGAAGAAGAAUGGCACUAUAAGUCGAUUUCGUGAUAAUUGACGGAAGGUACUCAAUUAAAAAAAAGUAAGUUAAAUUACCAAUGAUACCCCACCUAACCCUAAGACAAAGAGUCACCAAUUGCCAAAAAUGUAUCAAUGCAUUUUGCAAAUCUGCAAAUUAGUAGGUAACCAAAACUAACAUAAUAAAAAUUUACAUUACACUACUAUUUCAUUUUGUAUCGAACUUGUAGGUUGUUCAAGUGUUAAUUAAAAUAACGAUGAGUUUUCUGACUCUUUCUUUUUUAAAAACACACAAGUAUGUAAUUUAUCCAAAAUAUCUGACUUCUUGAGACGUCGUUCGUUACGUUCAUGUUCUGUUGAAAAUUCCAUAUAUUUACUAGACAUAUAGAGACCCCGCCUAUGUUGACCGUACAGGAACUCAUGAAGCAACUAUGUAAAAAAAAAUUGAGAAGGUCCAUUCAACGUGCGAAUGCGCGAGAUUGACAAUUUCAUUUUUUACGAAUGGCAGUUCUAAGUACAAAUUUUGACGUUGGACCUAUAAAACUUACGGCGUUCAACAAGAAACAUGGUCGCUGACACAUCGUCAAUGCGUGGAUAUGACAUUUUUACGGCAGUAUUUUUUCAGAAUAUGUCGAAAUCUUAUUAAAUUUUUAGGCAAAAAUGAUUUAAGGCGUGGAAAAGCAGUGGAGAAUUGCAGCACCCACGUCGGAAUCAGUAUAAUUCUGUAUUUAAUUUGGCAUUUUUGUUUUUUUUAGCCAUGUAGAUGCGCUGAAUUUUUCUACAUGUAUUUUUUCAUGUAAGUUUUUUUUUUCGAUUUUUUUUUGCUUGUAAAUUGGCGCAAAGUGUUAGUUUUCAUACACUCAUGGCGUUAAUCUCUAUUCAACAUGUAAAGAAAGUCGAAAUUGCGACAGACGGCUGUUAAAAGUCUAAAUAUAACUUUGGAUGCUAGAUAUCUAAGUGGAAAUAGUAUAUUAUGCAACAAGUGCGGUAAACGGCAUUUGACUGAGGAGUUUAUUUGACACGAGCGAAGCGGCUGUUUAAUAAACGAGUGAGUUAAAAAGUUUACCGAACGUGUUGCAUACUAUACUUUUUCUACGACCGUUAGUUUUUGGGUAUAUUUUCGCAAAACACGAAUACAUUCACUAACAUGACUGUCAGAAUUGACAAACGUCAAAAUUCAACUCGUGGGAAAUAUCUCCGAAAACAUCCGAUUGCUCCCAAACCCGUGCGGUAAAAUCCUGGAAAUGUCCGAAGUGGCUCGGAUUCGUGGGAAACGAAACUGAGGUAAUAAAGCGACGCUUCCCGCGCGCUAGAUCGGUGCGUAAUUAGGAAUUUUACAGACGGGAGUAGAAAAAUAUAUUUAAGAAGCAACUCCGCGAAGCAAACGGAAUGAAAGUGCCAAUGGACAAUUUGUUGUAGGUAUUGGAAAACAUAAUCAAGAAAAUUAAAGACUAUUUAAAACAAGUUUGUUGUGGAGAAUAAAUAAAUUAAUAUAAUUAGUGUAUUUUAUUUAGCACUUCAAAGAGACAUCUUCGUUUCUAGUACCACAAGUGAGUUAAACGGUAUUUGACUCACGAGUUUAUUUGACACGAGCGGAGCGAGUUUUUAAUAAACGAGUGAGUUAAAAAGUUUACUGAACGUGUUGCAUACUAUUACGUUUUCUACGACUGGUAGUUUUUGGGAACAUUUUUGUAAAACACGAAGAGAUGGUAGCAAAAGAUCGAAUGUUCAAAUGAGUCGUGACAUAUACGUGAUCGAGUGACAGAAUGUUUAGGUUAGAACCAGCGAUUUUUAUAGGGAUAUCAAGUUUGAAACUUAUUUAAAAUGAUUUAUCUUACUAAGUUAACAUUUUAUUACUUUUCUUAAACAGGAAUUCAGUUAAUUGUGGGUAGUACAUAACUCCUUAACAAAUAGUUUUUCACGUCGACUUUAUAUAUUAUUCAUGCAGAAGGUGUAACGGAACGCGGUAAAAUUGAUUUAAUAUUUUAUAGUAGCUGACAAAAAAGGCAUUUUGCAUGUUUAGUCCUGAAACGUCGUAUUUUAUAACACUGUUUAAUUUAUAGGAUUAAGAUGAUUUUAGAAAUUGUAACUUUGAUGCAAUGAAUUGUUAUCUGUCUUGUACAUCUUGGGAGGCUGCACUUGACCCGCGGGAUGUUAACAGUUGUGUUGAUUAUUUUUAUAGUAUUUUGUAUGGUGCGAUUGAGAUGUUUAUUCCUAUUAAGCGAUUUAAGUCUUCAAAUUUCCAUGCAUGGUUUAAUCGUGAACUCCAGAACUUAAUUGUUAUGAAAAAAACUGCGCAUACAAAAUACAAGCAAACUAACAACGCUGAUGAUUAUUUUUAUUUCUGUGGGUUAAGGGAUCAGUGUAAGGCACUGCGUAGUGAGUGCUACAGUGCAUAUAUAAUGCGAAUUAAUCAGGAUGUCACGUAUGACCCAAAAUCUUUUUGGAAACAUGUAAAUAGUUUGCGAAGGUCAUGUGCAUAUCCCAGUAACAUGUAUUUGGGUGACGAGGUUGCCGACUGUGGUCAGGAUAUUGUUGGCUUGUUUGCACAGCACUUUGCUUCUACUUAUGAAGUGUGGGGGUGUGAUUCCUAAUUAUAGUUUUGACUAUAGUUUAGACUUUAACUCCAUGAGUGUUUCACUUACUGAUGUGUUUGAGAGUAUUAUGAACUUACAGACUGGAUUUUCGCAUGGCCCGGACGGGAUUCCAUCAGUCUUGAUUAAGAAAUGUGUUUGUACUUUGAGUAGGCUACUACAGCAUAUUUUUAACCUGUCCUUGUCUCCAGGUAUUUUUCCCGACUUUUGGAAGAUUAGCUAUUUGGUACCGAUUCACAAGAGUGGUGAUAAAAACGAUAUCGCUAAUUAUAGAGGCGUUUGCAUACAGUCUGUGGUUCCAAAACUGCUUGAUAGGCUAUUUUGUGAGACUUUCGUGGCAUUGCAGGGGAAUUCUGGCAGAUCAACAGCAUGGAUUUGUACAGGGUAGAUCUACCGUAACAAAUUUACUCACCUACCAACAAUUUUUGAACGCCAUUGAGGAGUUUGGUCCGGUGGAUUGUGUUUACACGGAUUUCUCGAAGGCGUUUGACCGGUUAUUGCAAAAAGAUGUCUUAGAAGCACAGAAACAAAAUAUCAAGCAUCAGGAAAAGUUGUUGAAAAGUGUGUUCAUCUUAAGAAAGGGACAACAUUUGAAGGAUCAAAUACGAGACAGGACAGGAGUUGCAAGCAUGUGUAACAAAGGAGACCAAAAGAAUAUAGGCAAUAGACUUGGGACAAGGUAAAGAAGUUAUUAGUAAUAAAAAUAUUUGUAGAAAUGUGUAGUACAUUACACUGUAUGACUGAAACUAAUAAGUAUUAAUAAAUUUCAAUUAUGUUAACAUAAUUUUAGGAAUGCAGAAGGUGUCUUACUUCCUUCAACUCAGUAUGUACCUCCUGCCGAUUGCCUCCACCUCUACGCAGAGAUAGAGGCAAUCGAAUGUACCUGUAGAACUGAAAGACGACUAGAGUUCUGGGAGCAAACAAGCGACCUACAUAUUAGUUUGGUUAUACAGUUUGGCAGAAAAGCUUGGCAUGAGUUAUUUUGGUGUCAAGGUCCUGUAUGAAAGGAUAUUAACCAAUUUGUUGGACCCUUCAUCAAAUAUGGGCAUAAAUUUUGAUUUUUUUCUGGGAUUAGCAAGUAUUUUAUAUUUUUUCGUAAGGUAACCUCUACCUUUGUAUAAGUUAAUAGGAACCACCAAUAAAUAUUAAAUAACAAUAUGCAUAUAUCAAAGUGGCAAUUUUUGAAGUCUUACAUAAAUAUAUUUGACGUUUACUAAAAAAAAUACUGGCAACUCCUAAUAAGGUGUAUAAAGGUAGAAGUUGCCUUUGUUGUAAAAAUAAAAAAAUAUUAGUAUAGGAUUUUACCUGGAC